UACGUAGGUCCCGAGCGUUGUCUGGAUUUAUUGGGCGUAAAGCGAGCGCAGGUGGUUUAAUAAGUCUGAUGUAAAAGGCAGUGGCUCAACCAUUGUGUGCAUUGGAAACUGUUAGACUUGAGUGCAGAAGAGGAAAGUGGAAUUCCAUGUGUAGCGGUGAAAUGCGUAGAGAUAUGGAGGAACACCAGUGGCGAAAGCGGCUCUCUGGACUGUAACUGACACUGAGGCUCGAAAGCGUGGGUAGCAAACAGG
rnacentral:rRNA from 1 species